rnacentral:tRNA from 1 species
GGGAAGGUGGCUCAGUGGUAGAGCGCUUGCCUUGCAAGCAUGAGGCCUUGGGUUUGAUUCCUCAGUACCA